UUUUUAAAGCUAUUUGUUUUUGUUCGUAUUUCCUCUUCUUCUUCCCAAAUGCAAAAAAAUUCCCCUUUUCUCAUUAUUGCCACCUGUUUUGUUUGCUUCUUCUUUAAUUUAGUAGCUUUACUACAGGGUGCACACGACAAACCCCACCACUCCUGUUAUCCAUCCCUGGAUACAGGAUGGAAGAGAAAAAACGCGCCCUAAUUUUUCUGAACUACCCUAAUGUCCUGAAACUUUUCUGGGAUUUUGGGUAUUUUAUUAUUCCCAUGUACCGCCUCUAAAAACUACUCAGGCGGCAACGUACUGUGAACAGCUGCUUGAAUGAAUGGAAAAGGAGGAAGCAAAUAAGAUAAAUACUACGCGCGGGUGAAGAAGAAGCACCCAAACAAAAAAUAUCAAUGGAUACAACGAGGUUCUGGUGGAGAUUUAUGGCCAAUAAAGGAGAUUUUAAACAAGAUAUCAUGUUGGCGACCCUGGGUCUAUAUAAAAAAAACUUGAUGGCCGAUUCUGAAAGAUGGCGGAUCGAAGCAGAAUGAAAUGGUGUUGUUCCCGAUGGACUCGUUAUUAAGGUGGUUCCGGAAAUUAAGGGAAAGUGUAAUGAAUUAUAUUUGAAAUAUAAAAAGUGGACUUUAGUGAAAAUUAAAAUGUGGUUCGGUGCAUAAAAAAAUUUUGGCUACAGUGUGCGUUAAAAGUGUGAGUGCCGGGUAAAAAAAAUUAAUCGAAUAAAAAAAAAAUUUAUAAAUUUAAAAUAAUUUCGGUUCGGGUUUCGGAAAACGUGGUAUCAGCAAAAAAAAAUGGAAUUUACAGUGCGUGUAAAAAGCAAACAGACAAAAAAAUUAAUUGAGAAAAAUUAAAAAAAAUCAUUUGAUCGAAAUUUACAGUGAGUGUCAAAAGUGUACGGACAAAAAAAUAAAAGUUUUAAAAUUUAUUUAAAGUGAAGUUGGAACAUACCGUGAAUACAAAAAGUAACCAAAUAAAAACUAACUUUUGAAAAAAACCCUUUUUCGUGAAACUUGUCAAAGUGUGUUGUUUAAGUGAAAUAUGAACAAAAACUUAUACAGUGAGAACCAAAGUGGAAGUGAAGUGGAAAAAUUUAUUUUAAGUGACUGGAUCUAAUAAGUGAGACCAACGGAAACUAAAGUUUGAAAAUUUACUGUGGCCAUCGAAAAUUUGAAAAUCAGUUAAAUUUAAAACAAAAUUAUUUGUGUAAACAAAAAUUAAGUGAACAGUGACCAAAACCUUUUGUAACCAAACUAAAAGAAAAAUUAUUAGAGAAAACUAAAAAAAUCAAACCAAUCCUAAAUGGAUAAAAUAAAAGAAAAGUGAAAAUACAAUUAUUUCUUCAAUUAUAAUAUCUUUGGUUUUAAUUCUAAAUUAAUAAUUUUAUAAAUUUUCUUUUACUUUCAGGUAAUAAAAUUCAAUUGGACCUGGGAUUUGGCCUUGGUUUGCUGCUUCCGCUCGGGAAAGGUUUCAAUCAUCAUAUUUUUUUGGCUAAAGAAAAACAACAGCAUCAACUGUAAGAUCGAGAGGAAAAUUUCUCCAAUUAACGAAAUUUUAAUCGGUCUAAACUUGUCAUUUUCAGAGAACACCGGGAUUAGGUUUGGGUUGAACGAGUCUCCCCUGUUUGGGACUCGCUCCCCUUCAGGUUUCCCUCACAUUUAGGGCAAUUAGGGGUGUCUACCUCGAAGAUUGGUAGAGGCGUUUCAUCACUGAACUGUAGUUCAUGUACUCGAACGACGAUCCAUAAUUUGCUUCUGCAAUUGGAACUCACUGCCAUACCUCCUGAAUUGUGUGAGAAAUGCUCCAACGAGCUCGUCCCAGGACUGUAUCGUGCUCUGCUUACGCAAAGUCCAGUACCAAUCCAGCGCCUGACCUUCCAAAAGGGUGUGGAAACGUCGUAAGAGAUCAUUGAAAGUGCAAUUAUAAUCUUGCCUCAACACAUCGACUCGAAAAAUGAAGUCUUCGGCACUCAUUGAUCUCGAUGUACCAUCGAGUCGGUAAACGCACCUUCGGUUGGCCAACUAGGAGCUUGCGACGAUUGAACUGGAUUAGCAGUCGGUGCUCCAUGACUCGGUUGCGUAUUGGCGGCAUUAUUUGAGGAAAACUAAGUGGCGGCUGAAUGUUAUUUCCCGGAGGAAAAAGUGGUACGGCAGGUUGUGGACCAGGUGUUGACGGGAUUGUGCGAGAUACAGCAUUUGCAAUUUCUUGUUGCAUAUCUGAUCGCAACAACUUCAUUUGUCGCUGUAGUUCUUCCCGCAUAAAAUAAACAUAUCUCCUGGGGCUGGCAUAUUAUUUGCCGGUUGGGGAGCUGCAGGUGGCAUAACCGAACGGUACUGCACCGUCCUAGCAGUGAUGUUGCUGUAUUCCGGUGGCGUUAUAGUGUCGCUAGACUGGACAUUACCAGCAGGUUGAGGAACUUGAGGCGGAUUACUACCACGGUACUCCUCCUGUAUAUGUCUGGCGGUGGCACUACUGUAGUCUGGCAAAGUUAUGGUGCUGUUCGAAAUGGCCGAUUCAUCGAAGAAUCCAGAACGCUCUUGUGCCAUUGAUAUGAAUUGCUGAACGGCUGGUUUUACUGUCGGUGUUCUUGUAGCCGUAGUUGUGAUCGUGUUCGCUAUGGUAUAUACCGGGAGUGUAGAGGAAACUGUAGUUCCUACGAUAGUUCUACUUGCAUUUUCCAUAUUGGAUCUAGCCGAACGAGUUAAAACCAUUACUAUUUGUCUAAUUAGAAAGUUAUAGAUACAAAGUUAUAGAUAGAAAGUUAUAGACAAAGCAAAAUGAUAAAACCAAGAAAUUAAUUAUUUGUAUAACCAAACGCUAGUAAAAAAAAAAAAAACUAUUUAUUCUCCUCUUUUCCAAAGGAAAACUAAAAAAUCAACUCUAAAGAAAAGGACGUGAAGAUUCAACGAAAAAUAAAUCUAAAACGUUCGUAAAGUAAAGCUAAAACGUUCUACAAAGAAACUUAAAGUCUCAAUCCAAAAAGACCAAAGAUAAAUCUUGAAAUCUCUUCAAAAAUAAAUUAAAUCAAAAUCUUAACAUCGGCGGUGUAUUUCAGGAAAGUAAAGUUUGCAGGUAAUGUAAAAAUGUUCGUAGAUGUGUUUCUAAUUGUUUCUUUUCUAUUUUGGUUUCAGGAGAUACAAACAUUAAAUGAAAUUUAAAUGGGCAGAAAAACAUGGCAUUAGUUUCCAACAGCUCCAGAUUAGAGUGCAGCUAGAAUUUUUGUUUACGAUCCUACAACUCCUAGGACUACUCUAACCACUUUACUGAGGACUUUUUUUUAAACAAACACCAUUAUUGCUGAAAAAGGGGCUGGCCUUAGCUAUUCUUUCUUCACAACUUAGCAUUCUCAGAUUUGCUAUGGAAAGCUGUUCUGAGAGCCUCAAAUUGUUUGGAAAGGAUAGGAUGAAGAAUCUAUAAUUCUGCAUGACCAUAUUGUCCACACCACACGUCGCAACGCGAACUAGAUUAGGGUUGUCCUGCUGUCCGGGACUUACGUAGGUGUGUGCAACACUGACCAUGCACAAUUAUAACUUCCCAUUUAUGAAUUGGAGAAAAGUAAAAAAACUAAAUUUACUAUUUCGUCCGACGACGUCGCAACAAUUAGAGGAUCUAGGUAUGACCUAACAGGACUUACGUUGACAUGACUAAAUAGGAUUAGAAAACUAAUUAAAGAACAGGCUAUGGACCUACUCGGGCCCCACGUUGGGCGCCAUUUUAUGUAGUGUAGUGGUGAUGUAUGUUUGGUAUGGUAUUACCAUACCAAAACAAAACAAAAGAAACUGGUGUUGCCAGAGUGGUAGCGGCGUUGGUAUGCUCGCGUUUGCCGGGCUUGGAGCUCGCCGGAUGCGAGUGGUUCUUGCUACUACUCUAGAAUCUACACACACAUAAAGAAAUCAUACCAGCUAACAAAAUAAACAAACUAAAAAUAUAAAUGGGCACCGAGUAGGUUUCUGUCUGUCUCCCUAAUGAAAUGUACCUACGAACUAUUAUGGCUGGCAGAUGUUGUGCCAGGUAAAACCCUCCCACUCGGGAUUGGAUAAUCUUGCCAUGACAUCCUAAUAUUAGGCAUGUCCCAAAAUUUACCCUACAAGCUUUCCUUUCCCUACUUUCCUUAUAUUGUUUAACCGGUCAUUUUAAUUGAUUUUAAAAUUUAAUUAUAAAUGUUGGACUUUAUUAUUGAAAUUAUUCUCAAACAAACUUUAAUCAUAUUAGAUUUAAAAUUUAGUUUAGUUUUAAUUUUAAGUUCAGAUUUAAGCUUUACAAUUUAGAUUUAGGUUUUAAAUUUAAGUUUUAAAUUUAAAAAAAAAUUUCUUGAAUAAAAUUUUAUUUAAUUUAUGAAAUAAAUCAAAAAUUUAGUUUUUUUCUUUAUGAUGGCCACUGACUCCACCUUCUUCUUCUAUCCGAGAAAAAAUCAAAAAGGAACGACAUUUUGUUUUUUUGAUACCGAGAAACCUCGGUUACCAAUAUGGCUUUCCAACUUUAACAAAUUGUUCAGCAAUUUGUUUGCCUAUAUACAAUUUUUUUUAAAGCUAUUUGUUUUUGUUCCUAUUUCCUCUUCUUCUUCCCAAAUGCAAAAAAAAAAAUCCCCUUUUCUCAUUAUUGCCACCUGUUUUGUGUGCUUCUUCUUUAAUUUAGUAGCUUUACUACAUGGUGCACACGACACGAGGUGGAGUCUGUGGCCAUCAUAAAGAAAAAAACUAAAUUUUUGAUUUUUUUCAUAAAUUAAAUAAAAUUUUAUUCAAAAAAUUCUUUUAAAUUUAAAACUUAAAUUUAAAGCCUAAAUCUAAAUUGUAAAGCCUACAUAUAUAUGUAAUACAUAUAUAUGUAAUAGUAUCAUUGAACUACACAUAGGCAUUUACAAAUUUCCUUUAUUAUUUUAUACACUUUUUUAAUGUGGCAACGCUUUUUUGAAUAUGUACAAAUAAAAUAUUUUAUUACGUACAAGAAGAAAACAAACAGGGGGAUUUUUGGCAAACUUUUUUCAGAGUUGCACGGUUGUGUACUUUUUGUGUAUACACGUGGAUAAGUACAUAAAAAAUAUAAACAAAGAAGAAAAUACAUAAAAAACGUAAACAAAAAGAUAACAAACCAUAACAAACUCAUUGAUAUAUUUGUGAAAUAUUUAAACAUCCAAAUAAAAAUUAAAAUCCUCUUUGAGCACUAAAUCUGAAAUGUGUUAUUAAUAGCGAAUCGAAAGACGAAUCAAUCUAAGUAUUAAGUGUUCUUCAAAGUACUUUCUUUGAAAUGCUGUGAUGUAACAAACUUUGAAGAUUUUACAAAUUUAACAAAGGUGUUUAUGCUUAAAAAAUUAAAAAUGUUCGUUGAGCAG